GGGACCUGUGCUCAUAUAAUUGGGUACUUAGUGUUGGGUCUAUCAAGGAGGAGGUUCACCGGGGAGAUACAAACACUAAUGAGAUAUGAGCCCAACCAUAUAAAGGAUUGACACCACACUCUACCCAAAACCUUAAGGCAAUGUGUUAACGGGUCUUUCAUCUUUACAUAGUGCUCUACUUUCUCAUUUCUAUCCAAUGUGCGACUUAGACUCGCAUUUGCAUUCCCAACAAUCUCCCCCUCAAGGGUGAGUCCCUUCCACAUUGGUACACUCCCCCUCCAGCGGAAGCAUUCCCAUCCAACCACAACCACGAGUAGCCCUUCAUACCGCCGUUCAUCUUAACGAGACACGCUUACCUGGAAGCCUUUGCCAGGAAGACUUUCGAUAUAGGGAUCAUUAUACUCGUCUGAGCCAGUCACCAAGACUAACCAUCGGCUCUGAUACCACUGUUGGGUUUAUCAAAGAGGAGGUUCACUAAGGAGAUACAAUAACAAUGAGAUCUGAGCCCAACCAUAUAAGGAAACACCACUCUCUAGGGGGAAAGGGCCAAAACAAAUAACAACUUAUCAAAGUGUAAUAACGCAGCGGAAAUUCAAUCCCCCUUCUUGCGAGAAUCUGCGAGAAGCACCAAACAAAUAUAACAAAAAUAGAAUUCAAAGCACAAAGAGACACCAACAAUUUUAAACGUGGAAAACCCCUCAAUGCAAGGGUAAAAACCACAAGUCCUCAAG
rnacentral:lncRNA from 1 species